UACGUAGGGUGCGAGCGUUGUCCGGAAUUACUGGGCGUAAAGAGCUCGUAGGCGGUUUGUCGCGUCGUUCGUGAAAACCGGGGGCUUAACCCUGGGCGUGCGGGCGAUACGGGCAGACUUGAGUACUGCAGGGGAGACUGGAAUUCCUGGUGUAGCGGUGGAAUGCGCAGAUAUCAGGAGGAACACCGGUGGCGAAGGCGGGUCUCUGGGCAGUAACUGACGCUGAGGAGCGAAAGCGUGGGGAGCGAACAGG
rnacentral:rRNA from 1 species